rnacentral:rRNA from 1 species
CCUACGGGUGGCUGCAGUGGGGAAUAUUGGACAAUGGGGGGAACCCUGAUCCAGCCAUGCCGCGUGUGUGAAGAAGGCCCUCGGGUUGUAAAGCACUUUCAGUGAGGAAGAACGCCUGGUGGUUAAUACCCAUCAGGAAAGACAUCACUCACAGAAGAAGCACCGGCUAACUCCGUGCCAGCAGCCGCGGUAAUACGGAGGGUGCGAGCGUUAAUCGGAAUUACUGGGCGUAAAGCGCGCGUAGGUGGCUUGAUAAGCCGGUUGUGAAAGCCCCGGGCUCAACCUGGGAACGGCAUCCGGAACUGUCAAGCUAGAGAGCAGGAGAGGAAGGUAGAAUUCCCGGUGUAGCGGGGAAAUGCGUAGAGAUCGGGAGGAAUACCAGUGGCGAAGGCGGCCUUCUGGACUGACACUGACACUGAGGUGCGAAAGCGUGGGUAGCAAACAGGAUUAGAUACCCAGUAGUC